AACGAACGCUGGCGGCAUGCCUAACACAUGCAAGUCGAACGAGACCUUCGGGUCUAGUGGCGCACGGGUGCGUAACGCGUGGGAAUCUGCCCUUGGGUUCGGAAUAACAGCGAGAAAUUGCUGCUAAUACCGGAUGAUGACGUAAGUCCAAAGAUUUAUCGCCCAAGGAUGAGCCCGCGUAGGAUUAGCUAGUUGGUGAGGUAAAGGCUCACCAAGGCGACGAUCCUUAGCUGGUCUGAGAGGAUGAUCAGCCACACUGGGACUGAGACACGGCCCAGACUCCUACGGGAGGCAGCAGUGGGGAAUAUUGGACAAUGGGGCGAAAGCCUGAUCAGCAAUGCCGCGUGAGUGAUGAAGGCCUUAGGGUU
rnacentral:rRNA from 1 species